CUACCCCUUUCUACCCCAACCCCACCACCCACCUGAAACACACUGGAAAAGGGAGUACCCGCUCUGUCCUUCUCUUUCCUUUUUCUCUCUCUAACUUCACUGUUUUUUCCCCUCUCUCUCUGAGUCUUUGCUCUUUUUCUCUUUCUAGACCUCACUGUAGUAUUCUCCAUCACUUUGAUACCAAAAGAAACUAAAACCCCUUUUUCUUUUUCUCCUCAACAAGGUUCCACGCUUCAGAAUCUUAUCAGCAAAAUCCCAUCUUUUCAUCCUCAGCAUCCAUGAAUCCUCUAGGUUUGAAGCAUUGAGAUGAAUCGGAUCUGAGGUUGUGAGUGAAUGGUUUUGGCAUUUUUUGGAUUAUGGGAUCUAGGGUUAAACAUAUUUAAGCGUUCUCCGUUUAAUAUUUUUGGUUAACUUGCUUAGGACUGUUAUAUGUGAAGAUUAUUUAGCAUUACUGUAGUUUGAGCUGUCUCUGCUGAGAUCCUUAUUAGGGGGUUUGCUUUAUUUGUUGAUUAUUGGCUCAACUGUGGUGGAGAAAUUGAAGGGUUUUGGGACAUUUUUUCUUGAGUGAGAACUAGUAGCCUUAAAAAUGCAGAGACCACCACAAGAAGAUUUUUCGCUCAAAGAGACCAAACCCCACCUUGGUGGAGGGAAGGUCACGGGCGAUAAGCUUACUAGCACCUAUGACUUGGUUGAGCAAAUGCAGUAUCUUUAUGUUCGGGUGGUGAAAGCAAAGGACUUACCUGGGAAGGAUGUAACGGGUAGUCUUGAUCCUUAUGUUGAGGUUAGGCUCGGGAACUAUAGGGGUACGACCCGUCAUUUUGAGAAGAAGUCAAAUCCCGAAUGGAAUCAGGUGUUUGCUUUUUCCAAGGAUCGGAUUCAAGCUUCUGUACUUGAGGUGAGCGUGAAAGAUAAGGAUCUUGUUAAGGAUGAUUUUGUUGGUCGCUAUAUGUUUGAUUUGAAUGAGAUCCCAAAAAGAGUGCCCCCAGAUAGUCCUCUUGCUCCGCAGUGGUAUAGGUUGGAGGACAGAAAUGGUAACAAAGUUAAAAGGAGAGCGUGAUGUUGGGCUGUUUUGGAUGGGUACUCAAGCUGAUGAAGCCUUUCCUGAAUCUUGGCAUUCCGAUGCUGCGACUGUUAGUGGUGCUGAUGCUCUUGCAAAUAUAAGGUCUAAGGUGUACCUCUCACCAAAGCUGUGGUACCUUAGAGUUAAUGUGAUUGAGGCUCAGGACUUGAUUCCCGGUGACAGAAGUAGGUUUCCAGAAGUUUACGUGAAGGCCAUCCUUGGAAAUCAGGCAUUGAGAACCAGAGUUUCCAUGAGCAAGACUAUCAAUCCGAUGUGGAAUGAGGAUCUGAUGUUCGUAGCAGCAGAACCAUUUGAGGAGCCAUUGAUUUUGAGUGUGGAAGACAGAGUUGCACCAAACAAGGAUGAAGUUCUCGGAAGGUGUGCUAUUCCUUUGCAGUAUAUUGAUAGGAGAUUGGAUCACAGACCUAUUAACAGUAAGUGGUAUAAUCUUGAAAAGCAUAUAAUGGUUGAGGGAGAAAAGAAGAAGGAAAUCAAGUUUGCAAGCAGGCUUCACAUGAGGCUAUAUUUGGAAGGAGGUUAUCAUGUUCUGGAUGAGUCAACCCAUUACAGUAGUGAUCUUAGACCAACUGCAAAACAGCUGUGGAAGUCCAGCAUUGGUGUCCUAGAAUUGGGUAUUCUGAAUGCUCACGGCCUCUCGCCGAUGAANUCAGACUUGGCAAUGGGAGAGGAUAAAGUCCGAAGGGGCGAAGAGACGUCGACGGAGUUCGAUCGUGUUACGUACACAUUCUAUUCCACACUGGUCUUGCAUCCUACCGGGGUGAAGAAGAUGGGUGAAAUUCACUUGGCUGUAAGAUUUACUUGCUCAUCAUUAAUGAAUAUGAUGCAUAUGUAUUCUCAGCCACUGCUACCUAAAAUGCACUAUAUUCAUCCUUUAACUGUCAGCCAGCUCGACAGCUUAAGGCAUCAAGCCACUCAGAUUGUCUCAAUGAGGCUGAGUCGUGCUGAGCCACCUUUGAGGAAAGAGAUAGUGGAGUAUAUGUUGGAUGUUGGUUCCCACAUGUGGAGUAUGAGGAGAAGCAAAGCCAACUUUUUUAGGAUUAUGGGAGUUUUGGGUGGAUUAAUUGCUAUUGGAAGAUGGUUUGAUCAGAUAUGCCAUUGGAAAAACCCCAUUACGACUGUUCUGAUCCAUAUCUUGUUCUUGAUACUGGUUCUAUAUCCGGAGCUUAUUCUGCCUACCAUUUUCCUUUAUCUCUUCUUAAUCGGAGUUUGGUAUUACAGAUGGAGGCCUAGAAAUCCUCCCCACAUGGAUACUCGUCUUUCUUGUGCUGAUAAUGCGCAUCCUGAUGAAUUAGACGAAGAAUUUGAUACUUUCCCUACUUCACGUCCCCCUGAUAUUGUUCGGAUGAGGUAUGACCGUUUGAGAAGUAUUGCUGGACGGAUUCAGACUGUGGUUGGUGAUUUGGCUACUCAAGGGGAGAGGCUACAGUCUUUGCUGAGCUGGAGAGACCCUAGAGCAACAGCAUUGUUCGUUAUUUUCUGCUUGAUUGCUGCCAUUGUGCUCUAUGUCACCCCUUUUCAAGUUGUGGCACUCUUGACUGGAUUUUAUGUGUUAAGACAUCCGCGGUUUCGUCACAAGCUACCAUCUGCGCCGCUUAAUUUCUUCAGAAGAUUGCCCGCAAGAACAGACUGCAUGCUAUGAGCUAUACUGUUGGCUGGUAUUAUCCAUUUCCCCCUGUGUCUUGAGUUGAUGAACUACUUUAGAAAUUAGCAGGGCUUUAUUUUAUUCCCCUCACUCGCUUAUAUUCCCUUUUUCCCUCCCCUAGUGGUAAGUGUUAUGUCCUAGUGUGUGUAAGAUCUCCCUGAAACUGUUAGAUUUAGUGGAUUUACUGUUUAUUUAUUCAAAAAUUCUGUUGAAAUUUGGCUGCUAGAGCCUAGAUGGAAAUCCAUAUUUGUAGUCUUGUGGGUUCUUUCUUUUUGAACUUUCUUCAUGCCUAAUUCAAAGUUUUCUGUCUAUUCAAGUUGGUUUUUACA